GACGAACGCUGGCGGCGUGCUUAACACAUGCAAGUCGUACGGAAAGGCCCUGCUUUUGUGGGGUGCUCGAGUGGCGAACGGGUGAGUAACACGUGAGUAACCUGCCCUUGACUUUGGGAUAACUUCAGGAAACUGGGGCUAAUACCGGGUAGGAGCUCCUGCUGCAUGGUGGGGGUUGGAAAGUUUCGGCGGUUGGGGAUGGACUCGCGGCUUAUCAGCUUGUUGGUGGGGUAGUGGCUUACCAAGGCUUUGACGGGUAGCCGGCCUGAGAGGGUGACCGGCCACAUUGGGACUGGGAUACGGCCCAGACUCCUACGGGAGGCAGCAGUGGGGAAUAUUGCACAAUGGGCGGAAGCCUGAUGCAGAAACGCCGCGUGCGGGAUGACGGCCUUCGGGUUGUAAACCGCUUUCGCCUGUGACGAAGCGUGAGUGACGGUAAUGGGUAAAGAAGCACCGGCUAACUACGUG
rnacentral:rRNA from 1 species